GAUGAACGCUGGCGGCGUGCCUAAUACAUGCAAGUCGAGCGAACAGACGAGGAGCUUGCUCCUCUGACGUUAGCGGCGGACGGGUGAGUAACACGUGGAUAACCUACCUAUAAGACUGGGAUAACUUCGGGAAACCGGAGCUAAUACCGGAUAAUAUAUUGAACCGCAUGGUUCAAUAGUGAAAGACGGUUUUGCUGUCACUUAUAGAUGGAUCCGCGCCGCAUUAGCUAGUUGGUAAGGUAACGGCUUACCAAGGCAACGAUGCGUAGCCGACCUGAGAGGGAGAUCGGCCACACUGGAACUGAGACACGGUCCAGACACCUACGGGAGGCAGCAGUAGGGAAUCUUCCGCAAUGGGCGAAAGCCUGACGGAGCAACGCCGCGUGAGUGAUGAAGGUCUUCGGAUCGUAAAACUCUGUUAUUAGGGAAGAACAAAUGUGUAAGUAACUAUGCACGUCUUGACGGUACCUAAUCAGAAAGCCACGGCUAACUACGUG
rnacentral:rRNA from 1 species